CACAUGCCCAGUAGUAACAGCAUUCAGCUGCCACCUCCUAGAGCCUCCUCCAAAAUGAAAAGGGCUGCUGACUCUUGAAGAUGACAAUGGUUGGCAGUAAUACAUAUGCUUAACAUUGAAAGAGAAAAAAAACUUCUAUUUUUCUUGCUUCCCUUUUUGUUUAUUUCAUUCACUCUCCCCAAAUGGAUAUUGUUUUUCCUCCCUCAAUCUUUUCAUUAUGUCUUCUUUCACUGAAAAAAGGUCUUUUUUUUUUUCUUUUUUUUUCUAAACACAAAACAGAUCUCUAACAACUUCCAGUAGAGAGAAAGAGGAAAUAAGAUUGGCAGUUUCUUCACAGAACUGUGGGGAAGAACAGCAUACACAAAACCAGGAUCACACUUAGCAAGUUUUGCCCAAACACAGACUCCAGUGCUAUUGUGACACAGCAAAAAUGAGUAAUCUGGCUAAAAGAAUGCAAAUAUGAACACCAGCAUCACCCAGGCUACCAGGAACGGUAUUAUUUAGAAAUCAUUAAACAAACUAUGACUCAGUAGCCCAUAUACAGUGGCUUAGGGGAUUGCCUUAAGGAAUGGUAUGCUUUUGGCUCCAUGCACCCCAGAAGCAUUAAGCAGUGCUGCUGCUGCUGACUGCCUCAGGCUGCUGAUGCCCCCUCACACAGAUGAAAAACAGCCCUGGUCCAUAAAGACACAGAACUAUACAGCUUCCACUGAAAACAUCAACAGAUAAGUUUCCCACCAUCUUCAUGGAUCUUGAUACAGCAUGAAGAGUGUACGAGGAUCAUCACAGCCAGGAACUACAACAGGUUGCCCAGAGAAGAGGUGGAUGUCCUGUCUCUGGCAACAUUCAGGAAGGGCUCUGAGCAACCUGAUCUAGCUGUAGAUGCAAUGCCCCUGUCCAUUGCAGGGGAGUUCGACCAGAAGAUAUUUAAAGGUCCCCUCUCACUCAAACAACUCUAUCAACUAGAAUCCCCUUCACCUUUGGUGAAAACAUCGAAGCAAUUAUCACCUAAAAGUUGCACUGCCCAAGCUAGUCCUACACGUAGUGUUACCUUCCUAUCUAUGAAUCACGGUGUGAAGAUCAUGCUGGACAGAGUAUGGCUCCCGCAAGAAUAUCCAGAGUCACGUGCCUGCUGCGUCAUCAAAGUCAUCCACACACCUUAUAAUCAAAGUGAGCCACAUACUUUGUAUUGUAAACUUCUGCUUACGUUUGCCAGUAACAGAUGCAUAGUUUGCAACUGCCAUCAACUGCAAACCACAACCACUAUUUCAGCAGUUCAGCCACUCACUGAAAGCUAUGAGGUGAUGCUGCCUGCAACUGUGGUCCAGCCUGGUCCUGAUCCUGACAAGGGCUCAUACAGGUACUUGUAUCACUCUGCUCUCAACAGGACUGCAUGCAGCACAACAGCUCAGCCAGAGGACAGCCUCUGAUGGAGCUUGCUACUCAAGCAAGCCAAUUCAUCCCACUGCAUAGUGCCAGCCACAUAAGUAAUGGCAAACUUCUAGCUAAUUCCGAACAAUCAUACAUAAAUAUUCCAGCUAUUAUACUUCUGAUGCUUAAGAAUGUAUUUUUGUUGUAUUUCCUUUUCAGCUGUAAAUGAUCCUUGCUCUAAGGUACACAAGGAUGCAUCCAGCAAUGAAACAGGAUUCUAACUGGAAAGUAUAGUUCUGAAAUCUUUAUGGAGGCAAAAUACUAAUGUUUAUUUCAAUGUCUAAUUAAAAUAGGUGGAAAUUUUGC
rnacentral:lncRNA from 7 species